rnacentral:misc_RNA from 2 species
AACGCACAUUGCACUCCUUGGUAUUCCGAGGAGUAUGCCUGUUUCAGUAUCAUGAGCACUCUCACAACUAACCUUUGGGUGAAAUUGUGGAAUUGGAAUGCGCUGAUUGUAAUAACCAGCCCUUCUAAAAUCUAUUUCAUGACUGUCACCUAACACAGCAGUUUGGCCUAAUAGUUUUGACAUUGAUUUGUCAAAUCUUUGGCUUACAUUUGCUUCAGGUUGUCAGUUUUGAUAAUACAGAAAACUCAUUCAAAUUUUGAUCUGAAAUCAGGUAGGGCUACCCGCUGAACUUAA